UUCAUUUCUUUAUCUCCACCGUUUGGAAAAUAAAAGGGAGAAGGGAUUUUUAUUUUUUCUUCCUUAAUUGUUCUGCUGGAAGCCGAUUGGAAGAAUGUUUGGUGCCGCAUGCAUAGAGGGUAAAAUCUUAGUUUGAGCUAGUUAGAAUCAAUCUCUCAAGUCACUCGCUAAAGGAGUAGGAGGGGGUUGUAGCACGAAGAAGCAGGAGAACGAUAGAAGCUAGGAGCAGUUCUGAAAAUUUCUGAUUAGGUUCAAUCAUGUGCACUCAUUGUUAUUCGCAUCCAGUAGAAAAUCCCGCACACAUCGAGUUUGUGAAACUUUUGUUAUUUUGGUUGGCAUGUACCUAUAAGAUUUUAUGUUAUAUUAAGUUUAGUUGGAGAAUUAUUUCAUACUUCAAGAUGUUAUAUAAAUAGGCAUAUAUGAUAGUUGAUAAUGGUUUGUACUAUGUAUAUGCCUGGUGUUGAUAUUGCUAUUCGAGUAUUUAGAUGAGGUUAUAAUUCUUUGGAUGUAAA